GAUGAACGCUGGCGGCGUGCUUAACACAUGCAAGUAGAACGCUGAAGGAGGAGCUUGCUCUUUUGGAUGAGUUGCGAACGGGUGAGUAACGCGUAGGUAACCUGCCUGGUAGCGGGGGAUAACUAUUGGAAACGAUAGCUAAUACCGCAUGACAACAGUUAAUGCAUGAUAACUGUUUAAAAGUGUCAACUGCUCCACUACCAGAUGGACCUGCGUUGUGUGAGCUAGUUGGUGAGGUAACGGCUCACCAAGGCGACGAUACAUAGCCGACCUGAGAGGGUGAUCGGCCACAACGGGACUGGGACACGGCCCAGACUCCUACGGGAGGCAGCAGUAGGGAAACUUCGGCAAUGGACGGAAGUCUGACCGAACAAAGCCGCGGGAGUGAAGAAGGUUUUCGGGUCGUAAAGGUCUGUUGUAAAGGAAGAACGAGUGUGAGAGUGGAAAGUUCACACAGUGACGGUAUCUUACCAGAAAGCAACGGCUAACUACGUG
rnacentral:rRNA from 1 species